rnacentral:rRNA from 1 species
AGUUUGCUUGCAAACUGGAGAUGGCGACCGGCGCACGGGUGAGUAACACGUAUCCAACCUGCCGAUAACUCGGGGAUAGCCUUUCGAAAGAAAGAUUAAUACCCGAUGGUAUAAUNANACCGCAUGGUCUUGUUAUUAAAGAAUUUCGGUUAUCGAUGGGGAUGCGUUCCAUUAGGCAGUUGGUGAGGUAACGGCUCACCAAACCUUCGAUGGAUAGGGGUUCUGAGAGGAAGGUCCCCCACAUUGGAACUGAGACACGGUCCAAACNNNNNNGGGAGGCAGCAGUGAGGAAUAUUGGUCAAUGGGCGCAGGCCUGAACCAGCCAAGUAGCGUGAAGGAUGACUGCCCUAUGGGUUGUAAACUUCUUUUAUAUGGGAAUAAAGUUUUCCACGUGUGGAAUUUUGUAUGUACCAUAUGAAUAAGGAUCGGCUAACUCCGUGCCAGCAGCCGCGGUAAUACGGAGGAUCCGAGCGUUAUCCGGAUUUAUUGGGUUUAAAGGGAGCGUAGGUGGACAGUUAAGUCAGUUGUGAAAGUUUGCGGCUCAACCGUAAAAUUGCAGUUGAUACUGGCUGUCUUGAGUACAGUAGAGGUGGGCGGAAUUCGUGGUGUAGCGGUGAAAUGCUUAGAUAUCACGAAGAACUCCGAUUGCGAAGGCAGCUCACUGGACUGCAACUGACACUGAUGCUCGAAAGUGUGGGUAUCAAACAGGAUUAGAUACCCUGGUAGUCCACACAGUAAACGAUGAAUACUCGCUGUUUGCGAUAUACAGUAAGCGGCCAAGCGAAAGCAUUAAGUAUUCCACCUGGGGAGUACGCCGGCAACGGUGAAACUCAAAGGAAUUGACGGGGGCCCGCACAAGCGGAGGAACAUGUGGUUUAAUUCGAUGAUACGCGAGGAACCUUACCCGGGCUUAAAUUGCAUUUGAAUAUAUUGGAAACAGUAUAGCCGUAAGGCAAAUGUGAAGGUGCUGCAUGGUUGUCGUCAGCUCGUGCCGUGAGGUGUCGGCUUAAGUGCCAUAACGAGCGCAACCCUUAUCUUUAGUUACUAACAGGUCAUGCUGAGGACUCUAGAGAGACUGCCGUCGUAAGAUGUGAGGAAGGUGGGGAUGACGUCAAAUCAGCACGGCCCUUACGUCCGGGGCUACACACGUGUUACAAUGGGGGGUACAGAAGGCAGCUACCUGGUGACAGGAUGCUAAUCCCAAAAGCCUCUCUCAGUUCGGAUCGAAGUCUGCAACCCGACUUCGUGAAGCUGGAUUCGCUAGUAAUCGCGCAUCAGCCAUGGCGCGGUGAAUACGUUCCCGGGCCUUGUACACACCGCCCGUCAAGCCAUGAAAGCCGGGGGUACCUGAAGUACGUAACCGCAA